rnacentral:rRNA from 1 species
CAGUCGCCGCGGGAAUACGUAGGUGGCAAGCGUUGUCCGGAAUUAUUGGGCGUAAAGGGCUCGCAGGCGGUUUCUUAAGUCUGAUGUGAAAGCCCCCGGCUCAACCGGGGAGGGUCAUUGGAAACUGGGAAACUUGAGUGCAGAAGAGGAGAGUGGAAUUCCACGUGUAGCGGUGAAAUGCGUAGAGAUGUGGAGGAACACCAGUAGCGAAGGCGACUCUCUGGUCUGUAACUGACGCUGAGGAGCGAAAGCGUGGGGAGCGAACAGGAUUAGAUACCCCAGUAGUCCCUGUCUCUUAUAC